UCGCCUGUUUAUCAAAAACAUGGCCUUGUAUAUAUGUAAGGUCUGGCCUGCCCACUGAUUAUUUGAAGGGCCGUGGUAUUUUAACCAUGCGAAGGUAGCAUAAUCAUUUGCCUUUUAAUUGAGGGCUGGAAUGAAGGGUCGUUCGAGGGAUUAACUGUCUCUAACCUUUAUUUGAAAUUAAUCUUUUAGUGAAAAAGCUAAACUAUACUUGAAGGACGAUAAGACCCUAUAGAUCUUUAUAGAAACAAAAUUAGAAAUUGGUUGUAAGUUCUUUUUACCCCUUCUAUUGAGUUGGGGCGACGCUAUAUGAAGAUAUAACAUUUAGUUUAUUUAAACACUUACAUGUGAUGACAAGAUCCUGGGAUGAGAAAAGGAGAUAGUUACCUUAGGGAUAACAGCGUAAUGGUUUUUGAAAGUUCAAAUUGACAAAACCGUUUACGACCUCGAUGUUGGUUCAGGGAUCCUAUUUAGCGCAGUAGCUUUAUAAGGGAGUCUGUUCGACUUUUAAAUCCCUACAUGAUCUGAGUUCAAACC
rnacentral:rRNA from 1 species